GUCGGGCUAGGAGUGUGGGGGUGCUCCCAGCUCAGGUGGGAUGGGGGUGACCAGGUUCAGCUCAUGGAGUCUGGGAGUAGGCGGAGACAGCUGGGGGGCAGAGGAGGCACCACUCAGAGGAGCGGGAGGAAAACAGAUAGGUCAAGACAGGCCAUUUCCUGGCCCCGGAGCAGACCCUGUGGGUGAGCAGGGAAGUUCCCGGAAGGAAGGAGGGGAUGGAGUACCAGAUCCCGCCAAGAAUGAGUCUUGCUCAGAAUUCAGCAGUGAAGCCAUCAGGACCUGGGCUUUUCUUUGUUGGUGGCCAGGGACCUCUGGAACCAACCAGCUAGGAGGAAGCUGGGAAGGGGACUGGGCCAUCCUGGAAGUGUGGCCACAGUCACUGUCACCUUUCAAAAGCACUUGCUGGCACCUUCUGAAAAGCCUCACCAUGUCCUUUCUGUACCCUGGGAGUUGCCCCAUGGCUGGAGCCAGGUACUGGCUGACCUUGG
ensembl:lncRNA